rnacentral:rRNA from 1 species
UACGAAGGGGGCAAGCGUUGUUCGGAAUGACUGGGCGUAAAGGGCGCGUAGGCGGCUUCUUAAGUCAGGGGUGAAAUCCUGGAGCUCAACUCCAGAACUGCCUUUGAUACUGGGGAGCUUGAGUCCGGGAGAGGUGAGUGGAACUGCGAGUGUAGAGGUGAAAUUCGUAGAUAUUCGCAAGAACACCAGUGGCGAAGGCGGCUCACUGGCCCGGUACUGACGCUGAGGUGCGAAAGCGUGGGGAGCAAACAGG